GGCCGCGUGGCCUAGUGGCAUGGCGUCGCCCUCCGAUUUCCAGCUCAAGCAGCUGGUGGAGAUCCCAGGCGGAGACCGUGGGUUCGAUCCCCACCGUGGUCG